CAAAAGUAAAGAAAUCUUGGACCGGUAAGAUCAACACACCAUUUUUAGAAUUUCUUUGAAAAUCAGUUUCGGAAGGUUUUAAUUAAUGUUUGUGAAACUCUGAGAUUUAUCUGUGGAUCUCAUUCUAUUUAUUUGUCAAUAUGUUUUAUUUUUGUUAAUCUCAUCAAAAUCAUUUAUUUGUGGAUCAUAAUCUGUUUAUUUGGAAUAACGCAACAAUUCUAUCUCCAUAAAUAAUGACCAGUCGUACACUCUGGGAAACACCUUCUAUUCCCCAAUGCAGAGCUCAGCUCUGAUACUUUCAGUUUCGCUAAACGUGUAGUGUGUGCGAAGUUUGGACGCCGAGAACAAAAGAGCCAUUCAGAACUUCACCAAUGUCGAAUCUUUUAAUGCUGCUGUCAUUUUGCUUCGUCUAUCAUAGCGGUCAGUGUAAUUUGUUUAUAAAAUGUAAAUCGUUCUGAUUUUCAGUUCGAGCUAGAAUUCUAGUUCUAAUCGAUUGUUUUUCUGUUGCACCACUAAAGUCAUGUUCUUUUGCUGACAUUUGUGAAUAGAUGGAAAUUCCCCAGUAUAUUAUAUCAUCAUUACACAUCAUGACAUCACUGACACAUCUUUGCAGUUCAUUCCAGUUCAUUUAUUAUUAAGCAUUGUUUGGUCAGGGAUGAAUGAGGCUUGUUUGUUUGCUCUGAAAGACCGAUAAGACCCUCAUAAGAUGAACAGUUCUGAACUCUGAUGAAAGUGAAAAUAUACUCUCAUGCUGUAUAAUUUAAUUUUCAUGAGCAAGCUCAUGGCUUGAACCAACAACCUUAAUCUUUACAUUUACUUCUGAUGCUAAAUAUUGGAGAAACUCCACCAUCAGUUCACAAUUGUUGAAUUGCGUGGUGAAUUGUGUUUUUUUUUUAUUUUUUAGAAUUCAUACAUUUGUUUUGAAUGAAUCUGUAUUUUAGGAGCCUCCACUGUGAAAUUCAAAAAUGGAGACAAUGCCACACUGACAUGUAAAUAUGAGGCCAAAGACAUUUCAGAUAUUCGCUUCAUUCGACAAGGAAAACCAGUACACUUUGCUGACAUCCCCAUUUGUGAAGAAUAUACAAAAGGAAGUGGCCGAGUAUGUAAAAAAGAAGCAUGUGACAUCAUCAUCAAGGAUCUGAUCUUCAGUGACGCUGGGAAUUACAUUUUUAGAUUCAAUUACAAAAAUGCUCUGACGGAUCUGACGUACCAACUUCAUAUUUAUGAUGAGAUUUGUGUGAACAUCGGUGAGCAGCUGAAGUUAGAUGUUCUGUUGUCAGAAGCUGAUAAAGUGCAGCAUCAGAGCAGCGGAAGCAAAAAGUGGAAGGAGGUUUGGAAGAGAGGCCAUGGUGUUCAAAAUGAUCAGCUGAAUGAUAGAGAUGGAAACUUGAUCAUCAAUAACUUUACAGCCAGUGAUUCAGGAACAUACAAAGUUUUGGGCUCUGAAGGAGAAACCUUGAUCACAGUGACUGUUGAAGGUGAGAGAAGCUCAGAAUAUCUGGAAAUACUAUUUUUUAAAGUAGUAGUAGUAUGUUUAUUCACAAUGAGCUCUGUUUUUUCUCACUUUGUUUGACUGACCUUUGAAUAUCUUGUACUGAAUCUACAGGAUCUCGUUCAGGUGGUAAACUCAAGAGUGAUGCUGAACAACACAGUAAGUAAAACAGGAGGCAAUGAGAGCAUUACAAUAUAUUUAAAAAGUGAGCUUGAAACUAUAAUAUUUGUCUCCCCUUCUGCUGUAGAGCACUGGAUUGGACCGGCUGGGCUGCCUGGGUUCGUUUGGGUGGUUCUUUGCCUUUUUUAAAAGAAGAAAGAUACACCGAUGUCUGGAUGGAGGUCUGAGAAGGUUCUACAUUUGAUGAAGAACCAUCUUCAUGAAUAUUAAAAAUUAUGUUCUAGAAUAUUAAUGCAAUCCAGAUGUGCUACAUCUGCCAUAUUGUCAUGUGACUUAUUUCCGAAAGUAGUAGGACAUCCAGGUACUUUCUGACAGCUGUUUUAUAAGUAUUACAAGGUUUUAUUGCCAUCUGAAUCCAUAAUGUCAGUGUGUUUCUCCCACCACCCGCAUAUUUCCCUGACUGAAUUACCUACUGUUUUUUUUUUUUUUUGAACAAACAAAAAGGUGAUGUGGUAAUUUCACUGCUGCCAAAUCCACAUCCGAGUUUACAAGAUGGGAUCAAUUUUAAAUUCACUGUUUAAAUUCUUUUUGGCAGCUCCAUAUGAUAACUGUUGUGCUUUACUGUAAUUUGCAUUAAAGAUCUACACUUUUAUUACUGAAAGAUAUAUAGCAUAUUAUUGCACCAAAGGACAUGUAAUGCAAUUUUUAAUGUUUGUUUGUAUGUAUGUAUGUAUGUAUGUAUGUAUGUAUGUAUGUAUUUAUUUAUUUAUGUAUGUCUUUUAAUGUCACUUUAAGUCCCUCAGUUGUCCACCAGAGGUCUCACUCCACAGAGUAUUGACUAUUGGACUAUAGUUCCCAGGAAGCCUCAUACCUGGACUAAUUUCCGCUCACCUGAUCGUUGCACUCAGAUUAUUUAUAAACUGUGUUUUGCUCUCUCUUCGUGAAGUCUUGUUUAUUGUGUAUCUUGCCUGUGUAUCGACACUGUCUGGACUUUUACUUCACAACCCUAGCUGCCUGCCCUAGUCUGUUGUUUGUUGUGGACUGGACUUGUGUUUGUUUGCUGCCUGCCCUGAUCCUCUGCCUGGGUUUGACCACGCUUACUGUUUUGCCUCUGACAAUCCUGGUAUUUCACCCACUGCCUGUUUGUACUUUGAGACUGCUUCCACUAGAUGAACCACACAUGGAUUCCACUCAACCAGAGUCUGUGUUACAAUCAGGCUGAAACGAUUUUGUCUAAAAUAGAACGACUCAUAUGUGGAAUCUAUCAGUCAGGAGCUGCACAAUGUUUGACAGAUUUUACACUGCUAUUGUCAAUUAAGUAAACAAACUGAUUAAAGCUAUUCUUUUUCUGAUGUUUAGAAUUAUACCUUUUAUUAUGUUAAAGAAAAAAAAAUUGUACAGUCUUUACUGUGUGGGCCAAAUGUGUAAUUCUCUAACCUGCUAAAAACAGUAAACAUUUACAAGUUCUCUUAUAUUACAAAAUAAAUAAAAAAUAAAUGAGAGCA
ensembl:lncRNA